AAGUCGUAACAAGGUUUCCGUAGGUGAACCUGCGGAAGGAUCAUUAACGAAUUUGAUUUAUUAUCAUUUUUUUGUGAACUCUUACUACUUAGCUGUAGUGAUUUGCCUCGGUGUCUUAAUUGACGCCGGUGAUAAAACUUAUUAACCUUUAUGUCUAAACUAAAAGAUUUUAAUUAAUUAAAACUUUCAACAACGGAUCUCUAGGUUCUC
rnacentral:misc_RNA from 1 species